CCUACGGGUGGCAGCAGUGGGGAAUCUUGGACAAUGGGCGAAAGCCUGAUCCAGCCAUGCCGCGUGUGUGAAGAAGGCCUUCGGGUUGUAAAGCACUUUCAGUGGGGAAGAAAGCCUUGGGGCUAAUACCCUCGAGGAAGGACAUCACCCACAGAAGAAGCACCGGCUAACUCCGUGCCAGCAGCCGCGGUAAUACGGAGGGUGCGAGCGUUAAUCGGAAUUACUGGGCGUAAAGCGCGCGUAGGCGGUCUGAUAAGCCGGUUGUGAAAGCCCCGGGCUCAACCUGGGAACGGCAUCCGGAACUGUCAGGCUAGAGUGCAGGAGAGGAAGGUAGAAUUCCCGGUGUAGCGGUGAAAUGCGUAGAGAUCGGGAGGAAUACCAGUGGCGAAGGCGGCCUUCUGGACUGACACUGACGCUGAGGUGCGAAAGCGUGGGUAGCAAACAGGAUUAGAUACCCUAGUAGUC
rnacentral:rRNA from 1 species